UACGUAGGGGGCUAGCGUUGUCCGGAUUUAUUGGGCGUAAAGAGCGUGUAGGCGGCCUGGUAGGUCUGCUGUGAAAACUCGAGGCUCAACCUCGAGAUGGUCGGCGGAAACCAUCUGGCUAGAGUCCGGGAAGAGGAGAGUGGAAUUCCUGGUGUAGCGGUGAAAUGCGCAGAUAUCAGGAGGAACACCGGUGGCGAAGGCGGGUCUCUGGACAGUUCCUGACGUGAGGCACGAAGGUCGGGGAGCAAACGGG
rnacentral:rRNA from 1 species